UACAGAGGGUGCAAGCGUUAAUCGGAAUUACUGGGCGUAAAGCGCGCGUAGGUGGUUUGUUAAGUUGGAUGUGAAAGCCCCGGGCUCAACCUGGGAACUGCGUCCAAAACUGGCAAGCUAGAGUACGGUAGAGGGUGGUGGAAUCUCCUGUGUAGCGGUGAAAUGCGUAGAUAUAGGAAGGAACACCAGUGGCGAAGGCGACCACCUGGACUGAUACUGACACUGAGGUGCGAAAGCGUGGGGAGCAAACAGG
rnacentral:rRNA from 1 species